UUUGUGUUCUUCUUUUUUCUGGAGUAUGUGUGGAAACUGGAAAGUCAAAAGUAAGUUCUUUUAUCUCUAUUAAAAAAAACCUAACUACUUCUUCUUCUUCUUCGUCUGAGCAUAUCUGGUCAUUUUGUCAAAAAAAAAGAAAAAAAAAAUGUUCAGACGUCUUUCUUUCUUAGUUUUAUUUUGUACGUCUGCAUUAAGCUUCGAACUGUGGCUUUCAGAAAAAAAUGAGAGAAUUGUGUCCCUGAGUUCAAUCUUCGAACUCGGUCUCUU
rnacentral:lncRNA from 1 species